rnacentral:rRNA from 1 species
UUGACCUCGAAUCAAGUAGGAAUACCCGCUGAAC